AAUGCAGUGCCCGAACAGGGCGUUGUAAUUGGAAUGAGAACAAUUUAAAUCCCUUAUCGAUUAACAAUUAGAGGGCAAGUCUGGUGCCAGCAGCCGCGGUAAUUCCAGCUCUAAUAGCGUAUAUUAAAGUUGUUGCAGUUAAAAAGCUCGUAGUUGGAUUUCGGCGUGCGCUCAGGCUGGUCGGCCGUCAAGGUCUGUACCGUUUGGGUCACGCCCCACUGUAGGAUACUCACCGCUGUCCUUAACUGGGUGGCGGUCAAAGGGGGUGUGCAUGGGGGCAACUCUGUGCAUAUCUCUGGGGUUCCUACUCUUUUACUUUGAGCAAAUUAGAGUGUUCAAAGCAGGCAAUCGAGCCUUGAAUACUUCAGCAUGGGAUAAUGGAACAGGACUGGGGUCCUGAUUUCGUUGGUUUCUGGGAUCUCAGUAAUGAUUAAUAGGGAUAGUUGGGGGCAUUAGUAUUUAAUUGUCAGAGGUGAAAUUCUUGGAUUUAUGAAAGACUAACUUCUGCGAAAGCAUUUGCCAAGUAUGUUUUCAUUAAUCAAGAACGAAAGUUAGGGGAUCGAAGACGAUCAGAUACCGUCGUAGUCUUAACCAUAAACGAUGCCGACCAGCGAUUGGGAGACGUUACAUGGAUGACUCCCCCAGCAGCUUGCGAGAAAUCACAAGUCUUUGGGUUCCGGGGGGAGUAUGGUCGCAAGGCUGAAACUUAAAGGAAUUGACGGAAGGGCACCACCAGGAGUGGAGCCUGCGGCUUAAUUUGACCCAACACGGGGAAACUUACCAGGUCCAGACAUAGUAAGGAUUGACAGAUUUGAGAGCUCUUUCUUGAUUCUAUGGGUGGUGGUGCAUGGCCGUUCUUAGUUGGUGGAGUGAUUUGUCUGGUUAAUUCCGUUAACGAACAAGACCUUAACCUGCUAAAUAUGUCACUGGUAGACUUCUGCCAAAACAGGUGGGUGUCUAGGGGAAAGUUUCGAUGGACUCCGACGCAUUCAUCUGUGGAUGACUACCAGGAUGUACUUCUUAGAGGGACUAUCUGUAUCAAAGCAGAUGGAAGUUUGAGGCAAUAACAGGUCUGUGAUGCCCUUAGAUGUUCUGGGCCGCACGCGCGCUACACUGACAAGUUCAACGAGUUUAACACCUUGCUCGAUAGGGCUGGGUAAUCUUUGAAAAACUUGUCGUGAUGGGGAUAGAUCAUUGUAAUUAUUGGUCUUCAACGAGGAAUUCCUAGUAAGCGUGAGUCAUCAGCUCGCGUUGAUUACGUCCCUGCCCUUUGUACACACCGCCCGUCGCUCCUACCGAUUGAAUGAUCCGGUGAAAUGUUGGGAGCUGGGGUCUUUUGGCGGCGGGGCAACUCGUCGUCAGGGAUUCUGCAAACUUCAUUAAACCUUAUCAUUUAGA
rnacentral:rRNA from 1 species